rnacentral:lncRNA from 1 species
AAGGGUUUGUAGAUUUCCUCCUUCAUUCUAAUUUCAGUGUCUAAAAUUCUUGCAUCCAUGAACGAGCUGGGCAUUUGAUGAGACAGGGCUGAAUACUUUAGUUUUCCUCCUGGAAAUCAUCUGGGGCAUUUUCUUUGAACUGAUGGGAACAAUAAAGCAUAACUGUUUGCACAAACUUGGGAUAAAUGAUUUUGGGAUAACGAUGUACCAGAAUGGGGAUAUUUCACCCUUGGUUCUGAGAUGCAAACCAAAGAAUAUCAUGACCAGCUUUCAGGCCUCCUGAAGUAUAUCUCUCACAUUGUCCUGUUCUCAUGCUGAGGAGCCUGAGAUCCCUGUGUGGGGAU